ACUAGUGUAGUCCAAACUUGUAACAUGUUCAAUAAUAGAGUAUGAACUAUUAGGAUUCAAAAACAUGUAAAUGUGAUGAAGAACUUUAAACUAAUUAUCAUCACGUGACUCGUGAUCAAGUGAUGAUGAUGGAUAAGUAGUGGACACUUUAGGGCUACCUAUUCUAGAAGUAGCACCUGGCAUAAUCUCUUCUAGCGAUGCGAGAAUAAGCUUAUUUUGGUUUUGCAAGUUAUGCAAGACUUGACGAAAUUCAACAUUCUCUCGUUAUGUCGUGUUUACACGAGAUGUAGCAGUGAAACCUUUGUGCCCCCUACCCAAAUUCCUAUAGUAGCAAGAAGUGGUGCCAAGGUCACUAUUUCAUUAGCAGAGAGUUGUACUCCUUGACUCUCACUUUCAUCUCCCUCAACAUGUGCCUUUUGUGUGGUUUGCAUGUCUAUUAUCUCCUUUUACAUAACAAUAGAAAGUAUUAAUGUAAAUAAAGUAGUAAAAUAUUUGUUCCAUUAAGUAAUAAUAAAGUUAAAUAAAGACAUAAAUAUUUAUUCAUUAUGUACUUCUCCUUAGCCACGGGAUGGAUCCAACCUUUAAUAUCCUUACAAUGUGUGUUAUUCCAUGGCUAAAUUAUGUUUGGUAGUCCAGUUUCAUUAUCCUAUUAAAAGAAGUAAGAAUAAGUGUUCACUGAAUUGAAAUUACUUUUUCAAUAAAAAUGGAUAUAU
rnacentral:lncRNA from 1 species